ACGCUCGACACCUACGGGAGCAGCAGUGGGGAAUAUUGCACAAUGGGGGAAACCCUGAUGCAGCGACGCCGCGUGAGCGAAGAAGUAUUUCGGUAUGUAAAGCUCUAUCAGCAGGGAAGAAACUGACGGUACCUGACUAAGAAGCACCCGGCUAAAUACGUGCCAGCAGCCGCGGUAAUCUGAGCGGGCUGGCAAGGC
rnacentral:rRNA from 1 species